rnacentral:rRNA from 1 species
UACGUAGGGGGCGAGCGUUGUCCGGAUUUACUGGGCGUAAAGGGUGAGUAGGCGGUUAUUUAAGUCAGAUGUAAAAGGCUAUGGCUCAACUAUAGUAAGCAUUUGAAACUGGAUAACUUGAGUGCAGGAGAGGUAAGUGGAAUUCCUAGUGUAGCGGUGAAAUGCGUAGAUAUUAGGAGGAACACCAGUGGCGAAGGCGACUUACUGGACUGUAACUGACGCUGAGUCACGAAAGCGUGGGUAGCAAAC